UGGCCUUUAUCACUAAGAUGUAUCGAAGGGUGUCGGUAAUUGAAUGUAUUGUGUGCUACCUUUGAUGGUAAAUCUAGGUAUUGAAUAAGGCAUCAGUUAUACAUUAUGCGUUAUAGGUUUGAAUAUACUGCAGCAAUUGCGUCGGCAAACCAGUUACAGAAAUUAUUUAUUGAGCUUUUGUUUAUAGACACUCUUUAUUGAGAGGUAAACUUAAAAUGUAUUAGGAGGAAGUAGUGGUUGAAGUUUUGUACGAUUAUAGAAACAGGCCAUUUGUUUUGCAUUUUUCAACAAAUACGGAAAUAAAUUUCUAGGUUUCAACAUUAUGUAUAUGGCUAUAUUUCUUUUCCUUAUUCGGUUCACGAUGUACAUCUAAGUUUAUAAGGUAGUAAUGAAUCUAUGCAUUUUGUAUUUUUUUCCUGUUUUUGCGAAUAAAUAAUUUUAAAAUAGGUUAUGUCGUUGGAUUAAGUAGGAGUUGGAACCUUUCCAUCUAAGUGUUCGAGCUUCACUGUCCGUCAUGCAUGCACCUGUGCGUCUGAAAUGUUUUGGCAAUACUUGCCAUUAAUCGAGGUUUAUCAACUGAACCUGGACGCUAAUGCGACGGUUAUUAUAGGCGGGAAGGAGGUGGACUGCAGUCAAAAUUGUGUGUGUUGUAAAGGAGGAACGUCAAAAUGUGGAUAUGAUAACAUAUGUACAGAAGGAUGUGUUGAAACCAUACAUGGUCACAGAUGUCAUCAAUCAUGUCACAAAAACUGCUACUCGUGCGAAUAUGAAUUUGGCAAUAUAUGUUUUACCUGCAAAGAUACAUUCUAUGAUAAGAUCAGUUUGGGUAGCAAGAGGUGUUCUGUCGGGUGUCACGAUGGGACCUGUAAUGACAAUGGAGCAUGUAGCUCAUGUAAAGCUGAUUUCGAAGGUCCUAGGUGCGAGCCUUGUAUGCCAGGAAAAUAUGGUUCAGAUUGUAAAUUAAACUGCGCAUAUCAGAACUGCCGAUGUACGACUGACAGAGAUUGUAUUUCUUGUCAAAAUGGCUUCUUUGGCAGCAACACUCAUUGUCAAACACCUUGUUCCACUGGAUGUCAAAAUGGCGUUUGCAAUGAUGACGGAACUUGUAAUUGUACCUCAGUAUUGAAUGGAACUACAUGCAGUGAAUGUUUAUCCGGAUAUCAUGGGAUGCACUGCGAUGAACAGUGUUCCGUAGGCUGUGUAAAUAGUCAAUGUUCAAAAGAUGGUACGUGUACCUGUCGAGACUAUUUUCCAGGAAAAACAUGUGAUUCAUGUUCAGAUUGACGAUAAGGUGAUCCUUGUGAUCAAGUCUGCAGUGUUGGUUGUAACAAAACAAUGGCUUGUGAUAGACACAACGGCUUCUGUAAAUGUCUUCCUAAUUUUACAGGCGAUAAAUAUAAACAAUGCAUAGGCGGCCUUUACGGACAAUCAUGUUACUGACAUUGUCCGGAUACUUGCAAAAGGGGUACAUGCUCACGAUAUGAUGGGACAUGCACACAUGGUUGUGUUGAUGGAUAUUCGGGUGACAAUUGCACAAACCCGUGUGACAAUAUAUGCGCAACAUGUCUACAAUAUAGCACAUCAUACUGCGUUUCGUGCUUAAAUGGUUACACUGGAACAACAUACCGAUGUCCUCCUAACUGCAUUUGUACGGUUGGACUUGAUAUUUGUAUUUCAUGUACACAUGGUUAUGAUAAUCCUGAACAACAAUGCACGUGUCAAUCGAAAUAUUGUCUCGAGAAUGAAUGUGAUCAAUGUAUUAACCAGACGUUUUACGUUGAUAAAAAAUGCGUGCUGUUCAUAUCCUGAUCAUUGCAAAGAUGGUGACUACAGGGAAGGACCUGAAUGUAUUUCUGGUUGCAUGGACGGCUUUUACGGUUUGGAUUGUUCUCAAAGUUGCUUGUCCCUGAGUGCGGACUGUUUACGAUGUACUCAGACGUAUGGAAAGUGUUUGGAAUGUAGCGAUGGUUUUUAUCCAAAUGACUAUGGAAGCUGCAUAAAUUGCAGUAUUAGCUGUAUGAGUGGGCUUUGCAAUUCUGCGAAAGUAAAUGGCUGCAUCAAUGAUCUUGAAGGCAGAGAUUGCUCAGAACGACGAAUUUACAUUGGUUCUUCAACAAUAAAUGCCCUCUCAGCUUUAUCGGUAGUUUUGGGCAUUUCGCUUAUUUGCACAGCUGCUGGUUGCUAUCUGUGGAACAGACGAAUGUAUAAACCAACAGAACCGGAAGAUCAGCUUGAAACUGAGAUGACCUAUGAACAGCUACAAAGACAGGCAAACGAACCAACAUACACGAAUGCUGACGAAAAUUAUUCCGUGCUUUCAACGUAGAAGUUAAAAACAGUUUUUUUGCAUGAGAGAAUGAGUAUAACGAGAUUUUGCAUUUUUAUUCUGAACUUUAAGAACACAUUUAGGUUUGGUUUUACACCUGUUGCCAGUAGAUAUAAAUUUGCAGUCGUAGUAUUAGUAUGUAUCGAGAAUUGAUUAUAAUUAAUUUCAGAACAAUAUAUCCAGUGUGUACAUCAUUUUACGUUAUGUAUGUAUAUAUUUUCGUCAUACAUGUAACACUACAUGUUUAGGACGUCCUGUUUUGUGCCCGAAUGCUCUAAACACUCUGUAUAUGUUGGGAAAAUGUGAAGUGGAGCUUGGUUAGUUAGUAAACGCCGCCGUAUGUGGUUACCCUUACACUUUAACAUGGUCAUUGAUACGUAUUAGGCUGCUGGGCUUAUCCAGUAAAGUAAAACAUAGUUACCUUUCUGACAAUAUGAAUCUUAUAUUGUAGACCUCCAUCCAAAUACACACUACGACAUAAUCAAUAAACUGGUGACUCUGUCGAUCGUGCAUCCAACAUACGACCACUGUACUAUGUUUUAGAACUGUCUAACAACAGUGAACUUCUCGGUCUACAGUUCUAUAACCGACCACAUUUAUGUUAAUAUGGAGUUGCAACUGUUUUGCAAGAUGAUGUAAGUGUAACAGCGUAUACAUAUGUUUAAUACUUAUAAGGACUUUUGAAACUUGGUGUGUGUCUGGAGUUUCCAUAGUAUUAUUACAACUGUACGUGAUUAAAAAUAUUUCACAAAACAACAAAAAACAACAACAACAACAUACAACUGUAUUGAACAGUUCUGAACUGAAACAAAGUAAGUACAAAAUGUUAGUAAUUAUAGUAAUAAUUUCGUUUAAUUUGAACGGAUAUUUUAAAUAUGGUUAAUUUUUAUAUGUUAGAAUAUUACCAGUCAUAUUAUACUACAUUAUACUAUCCCACCAUGGUUUUUAUUAUUGAUUUGUUUCGUAUCAUAUACUAGAUGGUUUAUAAAGUUGCAUACUCUUAUGUACCGCUAUUAUGGACAGCAUUAGAAGUGUGUUUAUAUAUAAGUUAAAAAAUUAUAACCCUUACUUGGAAAGAUAUUACUAUGCAGUAUAUUUUGGUUGUUGUUUAUUCAUAGUGUAUCAAGUUGUUACAUAUGAGUGUUGAGCCGUUGAUAUACAAUGAUUCUCUGCAGUUCUUUUACCAAAACAAUUUUCCUAAUCUAAUUUGAUUCAUAUAAGAAUAUUACAGGAAUAUAUAUAAAUAUUUGGUUAUUUCUAAGGCUCCCUAUAGUUGCAUAUUGUAUAGGCUGUCCGAUGUAAAGAGUUACAUAUAUUUGUUAAUAUAAAUAUCAUUAAAGAACAAUUGUUUUAGCUAUCGUGAAACUAUAUGUCCACAAAAUGAAUUAAGCUAAAACGCACGUUACAAUUAAAAUUAUACACUAACAUUGUCAAUUAUUAAAUAAUAAAAAUUUAGAAUUCGAUUGAUAGAUCAAAUUAUAUAAUAUCUUCAUUGACCUAAACUAUGUUGUUGCUGUAUAUGCUUAUUCGAUAUUUACUCAUAUGUGAUAGUGAAUUGUUUAAUUUUGAAAUAUAAAUCUAUAUGCACUGAAUCACACCAAACACAGUAUUAUAAUAUAUGUAGUAGUCCACAUGGGCCUGGGCCUGCUAGAAUAUUUUGUAAAUACACAUAUGUAUCACUUCAGUACUAAUAAUAGUAUUAGCUUUUUGUUUGUUAUAAUUUCAAAUGACGUCUGCAACAUUUUGAACAAAUUCAUCUCACAAAUAUAUGUUAACAUGAUGUGUACUAACUAUAUUCAUGUAUUGACUUCAGUGGAUUGGAUUAAGCAACAAUUAUUAAGAUGUACACAAACGGUUAAAUGUGUAUCAAUUGUUUGACUUUAUAAAGAAUAAUGCAAAGUUCAAAUUUUGUAGUGUAGAUUUUUCUAAAAGUAGUGUAUG